ACGGCUCAGUAACACGUUGCUAAUCUACCCUUAGAUCGCGAAUAACCUCGGGAAACUGAGGAUAAAGCGCGGUAGGAGAUAAUAUCUGGAAUGAUUUUUCUCUGAAACUUUGGUCUAAGGAUGAGGCUGCGGUGGAUUAGGUAGUUGGCGGGGUAAAUGCCCACCAAGCCUAUGAUCCAUAAGGGCUCUUAGCGGAGAGGCCCUGAGAGGGAAUCUGAGACACUAUUCCCACCCCUACGGGGGGCAGCAGUUAGGGAAAUUUUCCAAUGCGCGUAAGCGUGGGAAAGCGAGCCAGAGUGUUCUUCAUUUUUUUGAAGAACUUUUGCGGAAUGUAAAAAGUUCCGAGAAUAAGGACUGGGCAAGACCGGUGCCAGCCGCCGCGGUAAUCCCGGCGGUCCAAGUCGCAGCCACAAUUAUUGGGUCUAAAACAUUCGUAGCUUGUUUUGUAAGUCUCUUGUGAAAUCUGAAAUCUUAAAUUUCAGGCGUGCAAGAGAUACUACAAAACUUGGGACUGGAAGAAGCAAAGAGUACAAUCGAGGUAGCGGUAAAAUGUGUUAAUCUCGAUUGGACUAACAACAGCGAAGGCACUUUGCUAGUACAGAUCUGACAGUGAGGAAUGAAGGCUAGGGUCGCGAAACGGAUUAGAUACCCGUGUAGUCCUAGCAGUAAACACUGCUCACUAAACAUUGGUGCCUCCUCGAGAGGCGUCAGUGCUGCAGCGAAGGCGAAGAGUGA
rnacentral:rRNA from 1 species